AAUAGAUACCCGGGUAGUCCACGCCGUAAACGAUGGAUGCUAGCUGUUAUGCGUAUCGACCCGUGUAGUAGCGAAGCUAACGCGUUAAGCAUCCCGCCUGGGGAGUACGAACGCAAGUUUAAAACUCAAAGGAAUUGACGGGGACCCGCACAAGCGGUGGAGCGUGUUCUUUAAUUCGAGGCUAAGCGAAGAACCUUACCAGGGCUUGACAUCCUUGGAAUUUCUCCGAAAGGAGAGAGUACUUUAUUGGACCAAGUGACAGGUGCUGCAUGGCCGUCGUCAGCUCGUGUCGUGAGAUGUUUGGUUAAGUCCAUUAACGAGCGCAACCCUUAUGAAUAGUUGUAUUUUUCUAUUCAGACUGCCCCGGUAACGGGGAGAAGGGGGGGAUGAUGUCAGGUCAGUAUUGCCCUUACGCCCUGGGCUAGAAACGCGCUACAAUGGCCGGUACAAUGCGCUGCCAACCCGCGAGGGGGAGCAAAUCGCAUCAAAGCCGGUCCCAGUUCGGAUAAGAGGCUGAAACUCGCCUCUUGAAGCCGGAAUCGCUAGUAAUCGU
rnacentral:rRNA from 1 species